rnacentral:rRNA from 1 species
UAUAUAAGUUAUCGUUUAUUUGAUAGUACCUUACUACUUGGAUAACCGUGGUAAUUCUAGAGCUAAUACAUGCUAAAAAUCCCGACUUCGGAAGGGAUGUAUUUAUUAGAUUAAAAACCAAUGCCCUUCGGGGCUCUCUGGUGAUUCAUGAUAACUUCUCGAAUCGCAUGGCCUUGUGCCGGCGAUGGUUCAUUCAAAUUUCUUCCCUAUCAACUUUCGAUGUUUGGGUAUUGGCCAAACAUGGUUGCAACGGGUAACGGAGGGUUAGGGCUCGACCCCGGAGAAGGAGCCUGAGAAACGGCUACUACAUCCAAGGAAGGCAGCAGGCGCGCAAAUUACCCAAUCCCGACACGGGGAGGUAGUGACAAUAAAUACUGAUACAGGGCUCUUUCGGGUCUUGUAAUUGGAAUGAGUACAAUUUAAAUCCCUUAACGAGGAACAAUUGGAGGGCAAGUCUGGUGCCAGCAGCCGCGGUAAUUCCAGCUCCAAUAGCGUAUAUUAAAGUUGUUGUGGUUAAAAAGCUCGUAGUUGAACCUUGGGCCUGGCUGGCCGGUCCGCCUCACCGCGUGUACUGGUCCGGCCGGGCCUUUCCCUCUGUGGAACCCCAUGCCCUUCACUGGGUGUGGCGGGGAAACAGGACUUUUACUUUGAAAAAAUUAGAGUGCUCCAGGCAGGCCUAUGCUCGAAUACAUUAGCAUGGAAUAAUAGAAUAGGACGUGUGGUUCUAUUUUGUUGGUUUCUAGGACCGCCGUAAUGAUUAAUAGGGACAGUCGGGGGCAUCAGUAUUCAAUUGUCAGAGGUGAAAUUCUUGGAUUUAUUGAAGACUAACUACUGCGAAAGCAUUUGCCAAGGAUGUUUUCAUUAAUC